AACUCGAACUUUAUUUGGGCGAACAUUUCCCACUUGUACCAAUGCUAAGGUAUCACAGGAAUGGUCUCAUUUUAGUUAAGAAACACUUUAAUUGUAAUUAUGGAUUCAAGUUUUGCGUUUAAGUCGCUUUGAGGGAGAAUAAAGGAUUAGUCCUAGAACAGAACUUGGUAUUUAUAGAUUUGAUGCUUGAAGAAAAGACAGACAAAACUGGUAAUAUGAAUUAGGACAAGUAAUUUACGCCUUCGACAGCAUGGGCGUUUUCAUUAAUCAAGAACGAAAGUUACAGGAUCGAAGACGAUUAGAUACCGCCCUAGUUCCAACCGUAAACUAUGACAAUUAGCAAUUGGAAGACGCUACUCUGUGGCACUCUCAGUAGAUUCUGGGAAACCAAAAUAAGGU
rnacentral:ncRNA from 1 species